rnacentral:rRNA from 1 species
GAUGAACGCUGGCGGCGUGCCUAAUACAUGCAAGUCGAGCGAACAGACGAGGAGCUUGCUCCUCUGACGUUAGCGGCGGACGGGUGAGUACACGUGGAUAACCUACCUAUAAGACUGGGAUAACUUCGGGAAACCGGAGCUAAUACCGGAUAAUAUAUUGAACCGCAUGGUUCCAUAGUGAAAGACGGUUUUGCUGUCACUUAUAGAUGGAUCCGCGCCGCAUUAGCUAGUUGGUAAGGUAACGGCUUACCAAGGCGACGAUGCGUAGCCGACCUGAGAGGGUGAUCGGCCACACUGGAACUGAGACACGGUCCAGACUCCUACGGGAGGCAGCAGUAGGGAAUCUUCCGCAAUGGGCGAAAGCCUGACGGAGCAACGCCGCGUGAGUGAUGAAGGUCUUCGGAUCGUAAAACUCUGUUAUUAGGGAAGAACAAAUGUGUAAGUAACUAUGCACGUCUUGACGGUACCUAAUCAGAAAGCCACGGCUAACUACGUG